AUUGAACGCUGGCGGCAGGCCUAACACAUGCAAGUCGAACGGAGCGGCGGACGGGUGAGUAAUGCCAAGGAAUCUGCAUGGGAGUGGUGGAUAGGGUCAGGUAACGGAAGCUAAUACCGAAUACUAUCAGAUGAGGCUGGGUCGGAAUAGCUAGUUGGUGGGGUAAAGGCCUACCAAGGCGACGAUCCGUAUCUGGUCUGAGAGGAUGAGCAGUCACACUGGAACUGAGACACGGUCCAGACUCCUACGGGAGGCAGCAGUGGGGAAUAUUGGACAAUGGGCGAAAGCCUGAUGCAGCCAUGCCGCGUGUGUGAAGAAGGCCUUCGGAUUGUAAAGCACUUUAAGUUGGGAGGCGUUACCCGCAGAAGAAGCACCGGCUAACUUCGUGCCAGCAGCCGCGGUAAUUC
rnacentral:rRNA from 1 species